UACGAAGGGGGCUAGCGUUGCUCGGAAUCACUGGGCGUAAAGCGCACGUAGGCGGCCCGGUAAGUCCGUUGUGAAAGUCAGAGGCUCAACCUCUGGAGGCCAAUGGAUACUGCCGGGCUAGAGUCCGGUAGGGGACCAUGGAAUUCCUGGUGUAGCGGUGAAAUGCGCAGAUAUCAGGAGGAACACCCGUGGCGAAGGCGGUCGUCUGGGACGGUACUGACGCUGAGACGAGAACGUGGGGAGCGAACAGGAUUAGAACUACCGUAGUCAAGUCCAAGA
rnacentral:rRNA from 1 species